rnacentral:pre_miRNA from 14 species
GGAGCCCAGCUCCCUUCGAUGACGGGUAUUCUUGGGUAGAUAAUACGGCUGGCGUUGUUAUUGCUUGAGAAUACGCGUAGUCGAGGGGAGAGACACUCGC